rnacentral:rRNA from 1 species
UACGGGGGGAGCAAACGUUGUUCGGAAUCACUGGGCGUAAAGGGCGUGUAGGCGGCUGGAUAAGUGGGAUGUUAAAUCCCCCGGCUCAACCGGGGACCUGCAUCUCAUACUGUUCAGCUCGAGCACAUCAGAGGAGACUGGAAUUCCCGGUGUAGCGGUGAAAUGCGUAGAUAUCGGGAGGAAUACCAGUGGCGAAGGCGGCCUUCUGGACGGAUACUGACGCUGAGGCGCGAAAGCCAGGGGAGCAAACGGG